CCGGGAUGGAAAAGUGUAUUCUGUGGAUCAAGGCACAUAUCUCAACGGACUCAUAACAAGAUGGCCGCAGUCCGACGACAGUCCGCGUUGGGACUUUUUCCUUGUUUCCCACAAACCCGUCAGCCCAUCGGCACUGGCAACGCCAUCACACUUCACAGUGCUCUUUCAAGAUUUUAUUCCACUGAAAGCGGCUACUCAAAACUUUCGGCCCACAAUACCAGACGUCGCUGUUAGUGACUACAACGAAACCUUUAACUUGGCGGCAGACUGCGGAUACGUUACCCCAGAUGUGGAAAUAGAAGAAGGGGUCGCGACGCGAAAGAGGGACUUGAUAGACCAUGCGUUUCUUUCAUCGUCACUUUACUUCCCCAGCAAACACCCUGUGGCCAUCCCGGCCACCGUCAAGUUCGCUGAUAAGUUGAUAGGUUUCGUCAAUAGCAAAAUGACACACAGGACAGACUAUCGCUCCGAAUCAGACAAAAUUGAAUACAUUAACGAAUCCAUGUCACACGUCGCAUUUUACUCGUAAUCUACUGAUCCCAACAGCUAGUACAUGUCUAUGCAUGUCAUGGAGAACGGUUGGACACGGUAAUGGGUCAUACACCAUUCUCCUUUCCUUUUCGUCCACAAUCUGUGUACACCAAAUUGGGACAGUGAAGAUGAAUGUACAUAUUUAUAGAAGUGUGUUGUACUUGUGCUGUGUGAACGCUGGCAAUAUUGUUAGUACAUCUUCUCAGGUGUGCCGCAUGCAAGAGGUAUAAGUCGCGAGGCCACCUGGUCCCAUCACCAAUAUACCAAUGGCGCAUAACUCUACCUCGACUACGGACAAGCAAACAGUUUAGUGCUGCGGUGCAUCUGCCCUGUACUCGAGCAUGCCCUGAGUAAGGUGAUGGAUAUUUCUGAAAACCGAUCUGCAGAACAUUCAGGAUAGGCGGCGGUGUUAAGCUUUGCCUUCACAAGCGCAUUUUAUGAAUAGUAUCACAUAUCUUUGCUUCCCCCCCCCCCCCAAUCAACCAUUCUUACUAUUUCAUUCCUUUGCUUUCCAGUAUCAUGCAUUCCACUUUCCCACGCUGCACAAGGCACAUGCGUAUCCUGAUAAUUUUCUUUUCCACAUUCCUUGAGUUGAUGAGUUGAUGUCACCCUUCUCUUUGUACCUCCACUUCAUAU